CCGGAGUACUAUGAAUAUUUAAACAUUUAAAACUUAAAGAACUUGGCGGUGUUUUAGACCACUUAGGGGAACCUGUCUCGUAAUCGACAAUCCGCGUUAAACCUGACCUUUUCUUGUUAUCAGUUUGUAUACCGUUGUCGUCAGGUAACUUUUUAGAAAUUAGAAGUUAGCGAUAAAAACAAUGUAAUGACUUAGGACGUCAAAUCAAGGUGCAGCUAACGAAAAGGGGAGGAUGGGUUACAAUUAUUUGAUUUAUAACAACGGACGAACAGCAUGAAUAUGUUUCAAAUUACAAGGUGGACUUGAAAGUAAAUUAGAUUAUAUAGAUAGUUUGAAUAAGGCUCUGAAACGUGU
rnacentral:rRNA from 1 species